GUGAGGAAUAUUGCGCAAUGGACGAAAGUCUGACGCAGCCAUGCCGCGUGAAGGAUUGACGGCCCUAUGGGUUGUAAACUUCUUUUGUAUAGGAAUAAACCCUCGUUCGUGAACGAGGCUGAAGGUACUAUAAGAAUAAGCACCGGCUAACUCCGUGCCAGCAGCCGCGGUAAUACGGAGGGUGCAAGCGUUAUCCGGAUUUAUUGGGUUUAAAGGGUCCGUAGGCGGAUCGUUAAGUCAGUGGUGAAAUCCUACCGCUCAACGGUAGAACUGCCAUUGAUACUGGCGAUCUUGAGUAUGUAUGAAGUUGGCGGAAUGUGUGGUGUAGCGGUGAAAUGCUUAGAUAUCACACAGAACACCGAUUGCGAAGGCAGCUGACUAAUACACAACUGACGCUGAGGGACGAAAGUGUGGGGAUCAAACAGGAUUAGAAACCCCUGUAGUCC
rnacentral:rRNA from 1 species